ACAAAUGAGCCCCAUCUGGAUGGCAGUUGAGUGGUAUUUUCUCACUUGACAUGGCAGUCAGUGGGCAGUAGAGUGGAGAAUCAAGCCCAGAGGGCCAGUGCCCAGGAAGUCGGUGAGAAAGGACUGUCUGGUGGGAUGGAGGGGCUUUGCAGAGCCCAUGCAGCCAAAAGAGAAUUUCUUCAAGGAGAUGGGCAUCGACCGUCAUUCAGCAGGGCAGAGUGGAACCUGAGGGUGAGAGAUGCUGAGUCACCUUUGGAUCCAGACCAAGGUGAAAGCUGUCGAAUGCCUGGCAGGAACAGUAGUGAGAAUAGCCGAAUGUCUGCCUUUCAGACAUCGUAGAUCCGACUUUAAACCUGUCCUGGGAAAGAGUUUACUGGAAGAGUGCAUCUGGAGGCAUCUAGUCAUCAACUCAGAGACACCAGAUCAUGAGAGGAAUGAGAAAAUACCCUUAACCUCUCUAUGUACUGCCAGAAAGCACAAGAGUGUUCUCCCCUUCGUCAGCCUCCAGCUCUCCCUCAUUACUAAUCCCUGUAUCUGCAACUCUUCAACCUGUUUGCAAUGAUUCUUCUUUAUUUUAUGUUCACUGAAUCAAGCCCUUCUUUCAACACUCAUGUCUUAGAUGCUGACUUUUCCAUGGGAUGAACUUUUUUGUCUGGUUAUUAAUGCAACUGAGGAGCCAAGUCACCAACUCACACAGAGUCUACUUUGUUCAUCUCACUUUUCUCACUGAUGGGACAAAAUGCCUGACAAAUGCAAUUUAAAGAAGAAAGCGUUUCUUUUUAAAUUUUUUUAUUUAAAA